rnacentral:lncRNA from 1 species
UUUCUUUUCUUGCUAAGAAACCUAGAUCCUCCUUUACUCAAAAAUAUAAUAAUACAUAACCUACAUCCUCUUUUUCUUUUCUCUUUCUCUUUCUCUUUUUAGUUUUUUAAAUCAUAUCAUGUGGCACAUAUAUUACUUUGUAUUCAAUCAACAUAAUGAUGUUUGUCGCAGUUUUUUCUACUUCAUUAAAACUUUUGAAAAUUUAGUCUCCUCAUUUGUAUUUUUUUCCUCCAUUUUUCGAACUGUCUUUCAGUUUUCCUUUUUGAAUGGUAAGUGAAGUCUAACUAACAAAUUUAGCAGUGAUAUAUAUAUACAAAGCACUAUAGUCUAUUAAAGGAAGAGGACAUCAGAUUUAAAAUUAUAUAUCAAAUGAGAUCAAAACUGUAGCUAGCAAGUACUAGAAGAAAGCAUCCCUAUUUGAGUGCUGAGAAGAAUAAUAUCUAUAUAUACCAUAAAGUGGUAAUCUUGGUUAGAUGUGAUUCUUC